rnacentral:lncRNA from 1 species
UCUGUCCUCACAGACAGAAGGAAGAACUCCAGUCAAACCCCGAGGUUACUCCACAAAGGCAGAGUGGAGGUCAGCCAGCAGCACAGGGCAAAGCUGUCACAAGACUGCCACUUCCUCCUAGACAAAUCAGCCACCAGGUCAAGCAAGGCGUGGCCCAGGCAGGGUCUCCCCGCUGGGGUCACCCAGAUCUCACAUCCUGCCCCAACUGUGCAGCAUCGGGCAUCCCCAGCCAGUGGCCAGGUCACAGAGGGCACAGGUUGAGGGUGGGAAACAGGAGACAGAAUAACAUGGAAGAUCUGCUUUUGAUCAGUGGUCAAGGAAGGCUCCUGUGAAUGUAAACUGAGGCAAGAAAGACAAGAAGAGUCAACUAGGAAAACACCCCAGAAGGAACAGAGCACACAGUGAGAAAGUGCACCCACCCUGUGCCUUAGUUCCCAGACCCAACUCCCCACUUCAAAGAGGGUCCAUUUGGACCCCGGAGACAGACCCCUCUUGCUGUGUCCACUCCCAGCACCAGGCCUGGGUCCUCCUACCAAACAAGGAUGAGCCUGUCUCUGUUUUAUUGUUUUGUUUUGUUUUCGGUGGUACUGGGGUCUGAACCCAGGGCUUCCCAUUGAGUUACAUUCCCAGCCCUUUUAAUUUUUUAUUUUGAGACUCAAUUUUGCUUAAGCACCAAACCAGGCUCGGGGUUGUGAUCCUCCUGUCUCAGCCUCCCAGAGUUCUGGGAUGACAGGUCCUUAUAACAGUUCUACAGGCAUUUGUGGGAAUGGCUGUGACUCCCCAAGGUAGCAAACCACACACAGAGCCCCGAAUGCUGUUCAGCACCCAGGUGUGAGCCGCAGAGGAAGAGGGUGGGUUGAGUGACAGAAGGAAUGUUCGGGAAGGCAUGACGAGUUCCUGGCCCAGGCUGCAGAGGCCAGGGAAGGUGAGGGGUACAAGAGAGAGCAAUGACCCCAGGGCCCAUGCAGAGGCCGUGCUCUGGUGACUGCAGGC